rnacentral:lncRNA from 1 species
UAUGUUGUGAAAUAUGACUUUUGUACAUUGUUUAGUAUUUAUAAAUGAAUACUUGUGGAUUGUUGAGCCAUGUCGUAUGAUGGUAAACAUGUGAUUCUUUAAUAAGAUGAUAUGAUGCAUGUUUGUAUGAAGCGUGACGAAUUCUAAUAAACCAUGUCGUAUGAUGGUAAACAUGUGAUUCUUUAAUAAGAUGAUAUGAUGCAUGUUUGUAUGAAGCGUGACGAAUUCUAAUAAUAUAUGUAU